CCUUUACCUCACGCUAAGAAUUCCAAGCUGGAAGAAGGCAUUCUUUCUUGCCUAAGGAGAGACUUCCUGGGAGGUCAAGUCUUCAUGAAGCCAUUCGUCAUAGAAAAAGCCCAAUAUCCUGAGACCACAGCCCUGAGGAAACCAAGCUAGCCAUAGGGAGAGGUCACAUGGAGAGCAUGAUGUUCAGCCAGGUCUCAUCUCUUCAACCAUCGCAGUGAUUCAGCUUCCGGUUCAAGCUGGUAUGGCAAGAGGCUCCUGAACUCACCUCUCAUGGACACACCAAAUCUACAGCUACAAAAGAACGAUCCUCUGUGAAAGAAGUCCAGAAGG